GACGAACGCUGGCGGCGUGCUUAACACAUGCAAGUCGUACGGUAAGGCCCUUUCGGUGGUCCACGAGUGGCGAACGGGUGAGUAACACGUGAGUAACCUGCCCACAACUUUGGGAUAACGCUAGGAAACUGGUGCUAAUACUGGAUAUGUGCUCCUGCUUCAUGGUGGGGGUUGGAAAGCUCCGGCGGUUGUGGAUGGACUCGCGGCCUAUCGGCUUGUUGGUGGGGUAGUGGCCUACCAAGGCGGCGACGGGUAGCCGGCCUGAGAGGGUGACCGGCCACAUUGGGACUGAGAUACGGCCCAGACUCCUACGGGAGGCAGCAGUGGGGAAUAUUGCACAAUGGGCGCAAGCCUGAUGCAGCAACGCCGCGUGCGGGAUGACGGCCUUCGGGUUGUAAACCGCUUUCAGCAGGGACGAAGCUUUUUGUGACGGUACCUGCAGAAGAAGCACCGGCUAACUACGUG
rnacentral:rRNA from 1 species